AUUGAACGCUGGCGGCAUGCCUUACACAUGCAAGUCGAACGGCAGCAUGAUCUAGCUUGCUAGAUUGAUGGCGAGUGGCGAACGGGUGAGUAAUACAUCGGAACGUGCCCUGUAGUGGAGGAUAACUAGUCGAAAGAUUAGCUAAUACCGCAUACGACCUGAGGGUGAAAGUGGGGACCGCAAGGCCUCAUGCUAUAGGAGCGGCCGAUGUCUGAUUAGCUAGUUGGUGAGGUAAAGGCUCACCAAGGCAACGAUCAGUAGCUGGUCUGAGAGGACGAUCAGCCACACUGGGACUGAGACACGGCCCAGACUCCUACGGGAGGCAGCAGUGGGGAAUUUUGGACAAUGGGCGAAAGCCUGAUCCAGCAAUGCCGCGUGUGUGAAGAAGGCCUUCGGGUUGUAAAGCACUUUUGUCCGGAAAGAAAUGGCUCUGGUUAAUACCUGGGGUCGAUGACGGUACCGGAAGAAUAAGGACCGGCUAACUACGUG
rnacentral:rRNA from 1 species